CCUGUAAGCUACGGCUUAUGGGGGUUGAGGACUGACGUAAUUAAGGCCAGGCUUAGCUGAACUACCUGGGAAGGUAGGCUAGAUAAGGUAAGAGCCCUGUAAGCGAAAGGCAGAGCCUUAAGGUCAGUAUCCAGAGUACCACGGAGCACGAGGAAUUCUGUGGGAAGCAGGGGGGACCACCCUCCAAGGCUAAAGACUAACUGGCGACCGAUAGCGCAUAGUACCGUGAGGGAAAGGUGAAAAGAACCCCGGGAGGGGAGUGAAAUAGUACCUGAAACCGUAUGUCUACAAGCAGUCGGAGCGAAAGCGACGGCGUGCCUAUUGAAGAAUGAACCAACGAGUUAUCUGCACUAGCGAGGUUAAGUGGAAGACACGGAGCCGUAGCGAAAGCGAGUCUGAAAAGGGCGGCGAGUUAGUGUAGGUAGACCCGAAACCGCAGUGAUCUACCCAUGUCCAGGUUGAAGCGCAGGUAAAAAUGCGUGGAGGACCGAACCGGUGAGCGUUGAAAAGCUUUCGGAUGAGAUGUGGGUAGGGGUGAAAUUCCAAUCGAACGCGGAGAUAGCUGGUUCUCCCCGAAAUAGCUUUAGGGCUAGCCUCAGGUAGUAAGUAUAGGCGGUAGAGCACUGAUCGGGCUAGGGGCCAUAAAGGUUACCGAACCCUGUCAAACUCCGAAUGGAUAUACUGCAGAGCCUGGGAGUCAGACUACGAGUGAUAAGAUCCGUGGUCAAAAGGGAAACAGCCCAGACCACCGGCUAAGGUCCCAAAUGCCGUACUAAGUGGAAAAGGAUGUGGGGAUUCAUAAACAACCAGGAUGUUGGCUCAGAAGCAGCCACCAUUUAAAGAGUGCGUAAUAGCUCACUGGUCGAGAGUCCCUGCGCCGAAAAUUUCCGGGGCUAAAGUACGGAACCGAAGCCGUGGCUGUGUACGUAAGUGCACGGGGUAGGGGAGCGUUGCCACAGGGGUGAAGCUGGUCUGUAAGGACUGGUGGACUUGUGGGAAGUGAGAAUGUUGGUAUGAGUAGCGAAAAGAAAGGUGAGAAUCCUUUCCACCGAAAGCAUAAGGAUUCCUGAGCAACGAUCGUCGUCUCAGGGUAAGUCGGGACCUAAUCCGAGGCAAAGAGCGUAGGAGAUGGACAACAGGUUGAUAUUCCUGUACCGGCAGCAAUUGUUUGAGCGAAGGAGUGACACAGAAGGGCAGGCAGGCGCGAGACUGGAUUGUCGCGUGCAAGCGUGUAGGGUAGUGUACAGGCAAAUCCGUACACUGAAAGCCUGAGGCGUUACGCGGAGCGAGCAGAGAUGCGAGCGAAGCUGCUGAUCCCACACUGUCGAGAAAAGCUUCUAGUGAGAGAGCUGCCGCCCGUACCGUAAACCGACACAGGUAUGCGGGGAGAGAAUCCUAAGGUGCGCGGGAGAACCCUCGUUAAGGAACUCGGCAAAAUGUACCCGUAACUUCGGGAUAAGGGUAGCCGUCUUGGUGAAGGAACUAGCUUCUGGAGCUGAAGGCGGUCGCAGAGAAGAGGCCCAAGCGACUGUUUACCACAAACACAGGUGCCUGCUAAAGCGAAAGCUGACGUAUAGGUGCUGACACCUGCCCAGUGCUGGAAGGUUAAGGAAGGAUGUCCGGGCAACCAAAGCAUUCGACCGAAGCCCCAGUGAACGGCGGCCGUAACUAUAACGGUCCUAAGGUAGCGAAAUUCCUUGUCGGGUAAGUUCCGACCCGCACGAAAGGUGUAACGAUUUGGGCACUGUCUCAACGAGGGACCCGGUGAAAUUGAAAUACCUGUGAAGAUGCAGGUUACCCGCGACUGGACAGAAAGACCCCAUGGAGCUUUACUGUAACCUGACAUUGGGUUUUGUUGUAUUACGUACAGGAUAGGUGGGAGGCUUGGAAGGCUGGACGCUAGUCUGGCUGGAGCCGGCGUUGGGAUACCACCCUUGAUACAACUGGAAUUCUAACCGAGAGAGUAACGAAAUCCGGGACAGUGUCAGGCGGGCAGUUUGACUGGGGCGGUCGCCUCCGAAAGAGUAACGGAGGCGCCCAAAGGUUCCCUCAGCGCGGCCGGAAAUCGCGCGAAGAGUGUAAAGGCAGAAGGGAGCUUGACUGCGAGCCAAACACGGCGAGCAGGUACGAAAGUAGGGCUUAGUGAUCCGGUG
rnacentral:rRNA from 1 species